AUUGAACGCUGGCGGCAUGCCUUACACAUGCAAGUCGAACGGCAGCACGGGUGCUUGCACCUGGUGGCGAGUGGCGAACGGGUGAGUAAUACAUCGGAACGUACCUUAUCGUGGGGGAUAACGCAGCGAAAGCUGUGCUAAUACCGCAUACGCCCUGAGGGGGAAAGCGGGGGAUCGCAAGACCUCGCGCGAUUAGAGCGGCCGAUGCCUGAUUAGCUUGGUGGUGGGGUAAAAGCCCACCAAGGCGACGAUCAGGAGCUGGUCUGAGAGGACGAUCAGCCACACUGGGACUGAGACACGGCCCAGACUCCUACGGGAGGCAGCAGUGGGGAAUUUUGGACAAUGGGGGCAACCCUGAUCCAGUAAUGCCGCGUGAGUGAAGAAGGCCUUCGGGUUGUAAAGCUCUUUUGUCAGGGAAGAAACACCGGCUCUAACACAGUCCGGGAAUGACGGUACCUGAAGAAUAAGCACCGGCUAACUACGUGCCAGCCGCCGCCGUAA
rnacentral:rRNA from 1 species